GUGGGGAAUAUUGCACAAUGGGCGGAAGCCUGAUGCAGCAACGCCGCGUGCGGGAUGACGGCCUUCGGGUUGUAAACCGCUUUCAGCAGGGACGAAGCGUGAGUGACGGUACCUGCAGAAGAAGCACCGGCUAACUACGUGCCAGCAGCCGCGGUGAUACGUAGGGUGCGAGCGUUGUCCGGAUUUAUUGGGCGUAAAGAGCUUGUAGGCGGUUGGUUGCGUCGAAAGUGCAAACUCAGGGCUUAACUCUGAGCCUGCUUUCGAUACGGGCUGACUGGAGGAAGGUAGGGGAGAAUGGAAUUCCCGGUGGAGCGGUGGAAUGCGCAGAUAUCGGGAGGAACACCAGUGGCGAAGGCGGUUCUCUGGACCUUUCCUGACGCUGAGAAGCGAAAGCGUGGGGAGCAAACAGGCUUAGAUACCCUGGUAGUCC
rnacentral:rRNA from 1 species